UACGUAGGUGGCAAGCGUUGUCCGGAUUUACUGGGCGUAAAGGGCGUGCAGGCGGUUUGUUAAGGCUAGGGUGAAAGCUCCCGGCUCAACUGGGAGAGGUCCUUGGAUACUGGCAGACUUGAGGAGGGUAGAGGAGAGUGGAAUUCCCGGUGUAGUGGUGAUAUGCGUAGAUAUCGGGAGGAACACCAGUGGCGAAGGCGGCUCUCUGGGCCCUACCUGACGCUGAGACGCGAAAGCGUGGGGAGCGAACCGG
rnacentral:rRNA from 1 species